AGGACGAACGCUGGCGGCGUGCUUAACACAUGCAAGUCGAGCGGUAAGGCCUUUCGGGGUACACGAGCGGCGAACGGGUGAGUAACACGUGGGUGAUCUGCCCUGCACUUCGGGAUAAGCCUGGGAAACUGGGUCUAAUACCGGAUAUGACCUCCUAUCGCAUGGUGGGUGGUGGAAAGAUUUAUCGGUGCAGGAUGGGCCCGCGGCCUAUCAGCUUGUUGGUGGGGUAAUGGCCUACCAAGGCGACGACGGGUAGCCGACCUGAGAGGGUCGACCGGCCACGACUGGGACUGAGACACGG
rnacentral:rRNA from 1 species